CUCUAGAGAUAGAGUCUUCCCCUUCGGGGGACAAAGUGACAGGUGGUGCAUGGUUGUCGUCAGCUCGUGUCGUGAGAUGUUGGGUUAAGUCCCGCAACGAGCGCAACCCUUAAGCUUAGUUGCCAGCAUUAAGUUGGGCACUCUAAGUUGACUGCCGGUGACAAACCGGAGGAAGGUGGGGAUGACGUCAAAUCAUCAUGCCCCUUAUGAUUUGGGCUACACACGUGCUACAAUGGACAAUAUAAAGGGCAGCUAAACCGCGAGGUCAUGCAAAUCCCAUAAAGUUGUUCUCAGUUCGGAUUGUAGUCUGCAACUCGACUACAUGAAGCUGGAAUCGCUAGUAAUCGUAGAUCAGCAUGCUACGGUGAAUACGUUCCCGGGUCUUGUACACACCGCCCGUCACACCACGAGAGUCUGUAACACCCGAAGCCGGUGGAGUAACCAUUUAUGGAGCUAGCCGUCGAAGGUGGGACAAAUGAUUGGGGUGAAGUCGUAACAAGGUAGCCGUAUCGGAA
rnacentral:rRNA from 1 species